rnacentral:rRNA from 1 species
AUUGAACGAUGGCGGCAGGCCUAACACAUGCAAGUCGAGCGAGCGGCGGACGGGGGAGUAAUGUCUGGGAAACUGCCUGAUGUAGAGGGAUCACUACUGGAAACGGUAGCUUAUACCGCAUACCAUCAGAUGUGCCCAGAUGGGAUUAUCUAGUAGGUGGGGUAACGUCCCACCUAGGCGACGAUCCCUAGCCGGUCUGAGAGGAUGACCAGCCGCACUGGAACUGAGACACGGGCCAGCCUCCUACGGGAGGCCGCAGGGGGGAAUGUUGCACAAUAGUCGCAAGCCUGAUGCAGCGAUGCCGCGUGGGUUAAGAAGGCCUUCGGGUUGUAAAGCACUUUCAGCGGGGAGGCGUUACCCGCAGAAGAAGCACCGGCUAACUCCGUGCCAGCAGCCGCGGUAAUUC